rnacentral:rRNA from 1 species
UGGGAAGCAUGCAUGGCGUGUGCUAUACAUGCAAGUCGAGCGGACAGAAGGGAGCUUGCUCCCGGAUGUUAGCGGCGGACGGGUGAGUAACACGUGGGUAACCUGCCUGUAAGACUGGGAUAACUCCGGGAAACCGGAGCUAAUACCGGAUAGUUCCUUGAACCGCAUGGUUCAAGGAUGAAAGACGGUUUCGGCUGUCACUUACAGAUGGACCCGCGGCGCAUUAGCUAGUUGGUGAGGUAACGGCUCACCAAGGCGACGAUGCGUAGCCGACCUGAGAGGGUGAUCGGCCACACUGGGACUGAGACACGGCCCAGACUCCUACGGGAGGCAGCAGUAGGGAAUCUUCCGCAAUGGACGAAAGUCUGACGGAGCAACGCCGCGUGAGUGAUGAAGGUUUUCGGAUCGUAAAGCUCUGUUGUUAGGGAAGAACAAGUGCAAGAGUAACUGCUUGCACCUUGACGGUACCUAACCAGAAAGCCACGGCUAACUACGUGCCAGCAGCCGCGGUAAUACGUAGGUGGCAAGCGUUGUCCGGAAUUAUUGGGCGUAAAGGGCUCGCAGGCGGUUUCUUAAGUCUGAUGUGAAAGCCCCCGGCUCAACCGGGGAGGGUCAUUGGAAACUGGGAAACUUGAGUGCAGAAGAGGAGAGUGGAAUUCCACGUGUAGCGGUGAAAUGCGUAGAGAUGUGGAGGAACACCAGUGGCGAAGGCGACUCUCUGGUCUGUAACUGACGCUGAGGAGCGAAAGCGUGGGGAGCGAACAGGAUUAGAUACCCUGGGUAGUCCACGCCGUAAACGAUGAGUGCUAAGUGUUAGGGGGGUUUCCGCCCCUUAGUGCUGCAGCUAACGCAU